rnacentral:rRNA from 1 species
UACAGAGACUGCAAGCGUUACUCGGAUUCACUGGGCGUAAAGGGAGCGCAGGCGGACUCGUGUGUCGGACGUGAAAUACCGGGGCUUAACCCCGGUGCUGCGUCCGAAACUACGAGUCUAGAGACUUGGAGGGGUAAGCGGAAUUCUUGGUGGAGCAGUGAAAUGCGUAGAUAUCAAGAGGAACACCAACGGCGAAGGCAGCUUACUGGACAAGAUCUGACGCUCAGGCUCGAAAGCGUGGGGAGCAAAAGGGAUUAGAUACCCCUGUAGUCCACGCUGUAAACGGUGCGCAUUAGGUCUUGGAGCUUUCGAACGCUCCAGGGCUCAAGCUAACGCGAUAAAUGCGCCGCCUGAGGACUACGGCCGCAAGGCUA